AUAUUGAAUUUGUUUAAUGUAAUUUAGGCCAUAAAUCUUUUACCUUAUGAUAUGCUCAUUUAAAUAUUUUCUCAGGUGGCUAAUCAUUUAGAAAACAUGUCAAGGAGGAAUAUAUGUUAAGAAAGAGAGACGGAUGGAUAAAACCACUAGCGUCAGGAAAGUCAUCAUGAAUAUACAAUCCUUGAUUUGGUUUGCUGCUCAACCGAGCGAGGAGAAGGAACAGCUGUUUACCAUCUUCCUGAGAGUAGAAUUGAACACACCAAACCAAGAGGCACCAAAUCACCGUCAGGCGUCCCUCAUUGAGGCAAAGGGGCCCUCAUAGGUCCGUGGUCCUCGCAGGGGUCCUCUGACCACCGGCACCAGCGCCUCCUGGAACCCGACAGACGUGCAGAUUCUCGGGCCUCACCCCACACCUGCCUACUCAGAACCUCGGGGGGUGAGUCCACCAGCAAUUGGUGUUUUAACAAAACUUCCAAGGGAUUGUCAGAGAACUGCUGAUAGGGUAGCCGUUUUGAUGGA
rnacentral:lncRNA from 1 species